rnacentral:rRNA from 1 species
GAUGAACGCUGGCGGCGUGCCUAAUACAUGCAAGUCGAGCGAACAGACGAGGAGCUUGCUCCUCUGACGUUAGCGGCGGACGGGUGAGUAACACGUGGAUACCCUACCUCUAAGACUGGGAUAACUUCGGGAAACCGGAGCUAAUACGGGAUAAUAUAUUGCACCACAUGGUUCAAUAGAGAGAGACGGUUUUUCUGUCACUUAUAGAUGGUUCCGCGCGGCAUUAGCUGGUUGGUAAGGUAACGGCUUACCAAGGCAACGAUGCGCAGCCGACCGCGGAGGGUGAUCGCCGACACGGGAGCGGGGACAGGGACCAGACUCCUACGGGAGGCAGCAGAAGGGAAUGUGCCGCAAUGGGCGGAAGUUUGACGGAGCAACGCCGCGUGAGUGAUGAAGGUCUUCGGAGCGGAAAACUCUGUUAUUAGGGAAGAACAAAUGUGUAAGUAAAUAUGCACGAAUUGACGGUACCUAAUCAGAAAGCCACGGCUAACUACGUG